AGCUUUGCGUAGUGGCAGUAUCAUAGCCAAUGAAGUUAAUCCGAGGUGUGAUUAUUGCUAAAAAUAUCGGUCAGUGUGAGGUUAAUGGUUGGACUCAUGAUCUUCAAGGUCUUUUCCAACCCAGAUGAUUCUGGGAUUCUGUGAAAACUUGCGCCUAAG
rnacentral:snRNA from 1 species